UAAAGAUUUAAAAUUUCUCUCCACUAUGUUAAUGGGUUUGAUUUUUCCCCAUCUGUUUUGCAGUUUGAGUCUACUGAGUUCUACGGAUUCACUCAAUUGCAAUCAUCUCUUCUGCAAUUAAUCUCUACCUUCAUUGUUAGAUGUAUUAAUACUUGGAAUGUGGUUGAUCAUAUUGCCAUCUGUUUUGCAGUUGGAUGUAUUAAUACUUGGAAUGCAAGCAAAAUGAUGUAAACUGGCGAUUUACAGUGGCUUUGAAAGGGUGAUUUGCUCUUAUAAAGUUCUGGAAGAUAAACUGCUUUGGAGCCAGAAGCACUCAGUAGCCAGAACAGCAACCUUUCUCUCCCUUAUCGGAAAAUGGGUGCUUUCUAGGUGAGCCGCAAUGCUCUUAAUUUCAAGUAAUGGGUUUGUGUUACUGUGCAGAUCUGCCGAACUUCACAUUUAGUUUCUUGGAAUUGUUAUUUUCUUUUUCAAUUAUAUAUUUUAGUGCUAUUAUGUUUGUCGUUCAGUGCUGGAAAAUUGGAAAGCUCUAGAAACAAUAUAGUUUUUGAGCUAAUGUGAAGAUUUUGGGUUGAAUACUUUGAUUCCGUUUUUCUAUUUGCACUUAGAAAAACAGAGGAUUGUGGUUAA